rnacentral:tRNA from 1 species
CCUGGUGGCUCAGAGGUUAAAGCAUCUGCCUGCAAUGUAGGAGACCUGGGUUCGAUCCCUGGGUCAGGA